rnacentral:rRNA from 1 species
AGUGAACGCUGGCGGUAGGCCUAACACAUGCAAGUCGAACGGCAGCACAGUAAGAGCUUGCUCUUACGGGUGGCGAGUGGCGGACGGGUGAGGAAUACAUCGGAAUCUACUUUUUCGUGGGGGAUAACGUAGGGAAACUUACGCUAAUACCGCAUACGACCUACGGGUGAAAGCAGGGGAUCUUCGGACCUUGCGCGAUUGAAUGAGCCGAUGUCGGAUUAGCUAGUUGGCGGGGUAAAGGCCCACCAAGGCGACGCUCCGUAGCUGGUCUGAGAGGAUGAUCAGCCACACUGGAACUGAGACACGGUCCAGACUCCUACGGGAGGCAGCAGUGGGGAAUAUUGGACAAUGGGCGCAAGCCUGAUCCAGCCAUACCGCGUGGGUGAAGAAGGCCUUCAGGUUGUAAAGCCCUUUUGUUGGGAAAGAAAAGCAGCAGGUUAAUACCCCGCUGUUCUGACGGUACCCAAAGAAUAAGCACCGGCUAACUUCGUG